rnacentral:lncRNA from 1 species
CAACACGUCUCUGUUCUGUUCUCCUCUCAUCAGUAAAGGUCUUUAUUCACAGCACCAACUGUUCAAACUUGGACAAGUUGCACAUCUGGAAAUAUUGCAUCACUGCGAAGGCCCCGGAUUGGAGAGAGAGAAGCGUUCACUUCUCCCAGUCGGUUUUACGAAAACAGUCUUUCGAGCGACAUGACAAAUACAACGCUCGAAGAUUUGGACAGAAACAUAAGUUAUUGAGGGAUGGCAGAUUGAUAAAACGUCAAAUCGCACUCUUGAUUGUAUGUAUAUAAUUUAAAAGUUCCGGGUACAAUGUGGAUAUCCCGAUGAAGCGGAAAUCCUGAGCUAAAGUUGUGUUUACGGCGAAGGAGUGGCUCAUACUGUCUCCAGAAGGGUGAAGCUGUAGAAGAAUAGCUGAAGAGAGAGAGAGAGAAGAUGCCUCCUCCCCCACCACCCCCUGCCCCUCCCCCACCCCCAACCUUCGCUGUGGCAAAUACACAGAAGCCAUCACUCAGCAAGAAUGAAGCGCAAGGAAGAAACGCCUUACUGUCUGAUAUCGGCAAAGGUGCUCGUCUGAAGAAGGCUGUCACCAAUGACAGGAGUCAACCCAUCAUUGACAGUGAGUAAACAUUUCUCUGAUGGUGUGUAUUCUAAAGGCUUUACUCA